AACAUUGGUUGGACAUACUGACCUACUACAUAAAGUCCCAGGACCACUGAAUCUCUGGGUCAAGUCCACUUCACCCCUCCCCACACCGUUGGAGCUCCCCUGUUGGAGCAAUCUCCAAGGCCCCCACGUUGCUCCCCCUAUUUCGUGAGGAGGCUGAUCGGUGUUUGGCCAGUAAGGACCUAGGCCAUCAGGUCCUAGGGCCCCUGACCCUCUGGGUCUGAUCCUUUACUGGCGCCCCACUCGUAGGAGCUCCCUUGCAAGAGGAGACUUCUUCAAGCCUCCCAAGUUACCGCCAUUCCUUGAGGAGGCUCACUGGUGUGCCCAGCCAGUAGGGACCUAGGGCAUCAGGUCUCAGGACCACUGACCCUCUGGGUCAAGUCCACUUCACCCCUCCCCACACCGUUGGAGCUCCCCUGUUGGAGCAAUCUCCAAGGCCCCCACGUUGCUCCCCCUAUUUCGUGAGGAGGCUGAUCGGUGUUUGGCCAGUAAGGACCUAGGCCAUCAGGUCCUAGGGCCCCUGACCCUCUGGGUCUGAUCCUUUACUGGCGCCCCACUCGUAGGAGCACCCUUGCAAGAGGAGACUUCUUCAAGCCUCCCAAGUUACCGCCAUUCCUUGAGGUGAGUGGGACAUGUAAAUCAUCAUCUGUGCCACGCUCCCACC